GACCCCAAAUGCAGAGGAGCCCCUUGAACUCUUAGUUGCUGGUGGCUCCCCAGGUGCCACCUCCUGAGUCCUGGUUCCUGCGGCUCCAUCAAAUCUGCAGUGAAGGCCUUUGGGAAGCAUGGGUUAUGUGGGUUCAGGGGUCCCACCCUCCCGUGGAGGCCCUUGGCCUGAGGAUCACUAACUCACUCCCCACCGACCUCUGGCCCCCAACAAGGGCAGUGUUCCUCUUGCUCCAUUCUGCUCUGAAGUCCCCCAAACCACUUCCUGGGGCUGUUGAGUGAAAUACAAGGCUCAUCUCUGAGGACCUCUACAGGGCUGGAUGGGAAGGACUGAUCCACAUUCCCACCAGGAAGUUUAGCGGAACCCCCGCAUGCCACCUGGACCCCCUGGAAGGACCUGGCCAAGGCUGGAGCACCUCUUGAGAGGCAGGAGCUCCGGAUUUGAUCAAGAAUUCUUGGCUGAGCAUGGUGCCUCA
rnacentral:lncRNA from 1 species